UACGUAGGGUGCGAGCGUUAAUCGGAAUUACUGGGCGUAAAGUGUGCGCAGGCGGUUCGUUGUGUCCGAUGUGAAAGCCCCGGGCUUAACCUGGGAAUGGCAUUGGAAACUGGCGAGCUUGAGUGCGGCAGAGGGGGGUGGAAUUCCGCGUGUAGCAGUGAAAUGCGUAGAGAUGCGGAGGAACACCGAUGGCGAAGGCAGCCCCCUGGGUCGACACUGACGCUCAGGCACGAAAGCGUGGGGAGCAAACAGG
rnacentral:rRNA from 1 species